rnacentral:rRNA from 1 species
UACGUAGGGGGCUAGCGUUGUCCGGAAUCAUUGGGCGUAAAGCGCGUGUAGGCGGUCCGGUAAGUCCGCUGUGAAAGUCGGGGGCUCAACCCUGGGAUGCCGGUGGAUACUGUCGGGCUCGAGUCCGGAAGAGGCGAGUGGAAUUCCUAGUGUAGAGGUGAAAUUCGUAGAUAUUCGCAAGAACACCAGUGGCGAAGGCGGCUCACUGGCCCGGUACUGACGCUGAGGUGCGAAAGCGUGGGGAGCAAACAGG